UCACAUAAUCAGAAUUAGAUUUUUAUCCUUAAUCACAAAAUCACUUCAAUUUCAAUCAAUUCUCAAACAUCAACUCAAAAAUUGCAAUCAGCAAGAAGAACCCUAGGAUUUCUACUCAAAAUUAAAUGGAAGUUGCUCCUGGUUUCACAUUCAAAGCUUGAGGCUAUUGAUCUCUAGGAUGUCAGUUACACAGUGGUAACCAGGUUGAGAGGAAUUGAGAAGGAAAGAAUUACCUCCGAAGCAGAGAUUUGCUUUGGCAAACAGUUGGAUCGGAGAAGAAGCUUGAACUGAGGAAGAUACUUUAAAUCGGUACGUUACUGGUCCUAUGUUCUUCUUCUUCCUUUUACUUCUCUUCUUAUUCUUCCAAUUUCUCAGAUCGAAUGAGUAUGAGCUUCGAAGGAAUUAUAGAGAUAAUUCUUAGUGUGCUGAGAUUUCUUCUAAGAUUGUGAGAGAAAACCUAGGCUGAAUUGUGUAGGGUGAUGAUGAUUACAAGUUAGGUUAUAUAGAGCUCUGAUCUGUUUACAAUGUUAAACUCUGUUAGAUUUCUAUUGUUCAAGUUAGUUGAAUGUGAUAGCACUGUUAAGUUUUCAGUUAACUGUUAGUUGGAGGUUAGAAUGAAUUCAGUUAGUUAAUUAGGUGUUAGAUUUAACCUUCUCUUAAUUCUGUUAGGAUCGUUAGUCAUGGAAGUUUGGAGUUGGAGUGAGUAAAGAAGACUCGGAUACUCGAGUGAGAUGAAUCAAUUUCCCUGUAUUUGACAUUUCGAGCCAUUGAGUUUUUAUGUUGUGCUGGUUCAGUUAAUGUGAGAUAUCAAUUUUCUUAUUAGAUGGAAGGAUUCAGUAAUACUUUCUGACUUGCUGAUUAUGUGAAUUAUCCUGAUUCAUCACGCCUUCUGUUGACAUGUUAACUGAGUUGUUAUAACUAUGACAAAUCAUGUUGCUGCCUGCCUAUGAACUUGUCCCAUUGCAUAUUGGACUGACUUUCUGAUUUUUGUGAAAUGGUUGUGGUUUAAAUGCAGGAGUUUGGCUCGAGGUUGCCUGGCUUUGCUGCUGAAGGAAUUGUUGAUCAAUGAGUGCUUUAUAAAAUUUGUUGAAAUUCAUGGUUAUUUACUCAUGUUCAACUCAUGACUUUGAUGGACUGCUUUUGAAGCCUCGAUGUAGGACUAUGCAGAGAUUUUAAUGUUUGGUAUGUUGCUGCAAAAACAAGGCAAUGGUAGUUCAUGUAUGUGUGAUUAAUGCAAUUUAUGUGAUUAGAAGAGGAUAAAUGGUCUGAGUGUAGGCUCAUGUAUGCACAUUUUGAUUCUGACUUUGAUUUUCUUCUUUUAUGCAUCAUGGUGAUGCAAAGAUAACUUGGCUCAUCAAAGGUCAUGGAAGCAUGUUUGAACUUGGUUCUUGUAUGCUAAGUGUGUAUGUAUGGAUGCAUUACCAUGGCUAUUUUUGCAGGGUUGUGAUGAAUUGGGUCAUGCUUGGAUUAAUUCUUGUAAUGACAUGGUUUCAAGAUAUUGCAAGAGACUUUGAUGAUAAAAUAUGGCAUGGCACAAAAAUGAUUUUCUUGUUCAUGAAGAAUCUUUGGUAAUGGAUAUAUGGGAAGGACAUGGAUAUCAAGUAGAAAUUAGGGUUAGGUCAUGAAAAAAAGUUGGUUGACUUUGGUCAACUGGUUGACCAAAAAGUCAACAAUUGACCAAAAAGUCAACCUUUACAAAAUGUAAUUUUGAUUUAUUUUUGUAAUGAAACAAUUCAUUCUUUGAUAGAUGAAUGGAAAAUCAAUGUUUUAAAUGUAAUGAUCAUGAAUGUAUUUGGAUUAUAACUUGACUUUUGCAAGACUUCUUAACAAAACCAAGUAGCCUUCUGCAUGAAUCCAAUACCUUAACUAAUUGAAACAUGACCACAUGAUGCUAUAUGAAUCAAAUGGGCCAAGCUAUAUGGAUUAAAUAAUGAUGGAUUCCCUUAUGAACCGUAAUGAAUCAAGGACAAACAAUGGGUCAAAGAUCAAUGCACUAAUGCAAACAUGAUCCCAAAGAUCAAAGACCAAGGAAUGGGAAAGUACCAUGUGCCUUGCACCAAUGCACCCAUAAAGACCAGAUAGAAUGCAUAUGUAUAAAUGUUUGAAUGAAGUCUCGGGCCAGAUGAAAUCUCCCCCGUUGGGAUAUGCCAACCUGAGAAUGAAUGGUGUAUGACAUGCUAGUCAAUAACCUCCCCCAAUGAAUUAGGGGUUCACAUAAUCACAAGGUGAAAAGUCAAACCAACAAGGCACACUAGAACCAAGGCUUCCUGAUUAGGGUUUCAUGAGGCAUACCCUUAAACCAAGGUCUACAAACAAAUCUCCAAUGUGUGAGCCCCUAAUUAGGGUUUGGGUAGCUAAGACAAAGCCUAAGGAGUACCCAUGAGGCCCCAUAACCCGAUCAUUAAGGAAUUAGGGUUUGAGACCCCUGAAGAGUGCCAUGAUGAAAUAUUGUUGAAUUCAUGCUUCAAUGAACCAUGAAAUUAGGGUUUUACAUCCCAUAUAAUUAAAUGAAUAGUCAAAGCCAUGCCUUUGAUCUUUGAUUCACACACAAACCCUAGCUUGCAAGCCGAGAGCUUUGAAUCCAUAGUGAUCAACCUAUUGGAUGAAUGAUGCAUAUGAAUGACUCAUGAGUACAUACAGAUGAUUCCUAAGACAAGGAUUGAAUGAAAGGAUGAAAAUGGUAGGGAAAAUUUUGGGGUAUGACAACUGCCCCUAGUUAAUCUACUUAAACCUGAAUGGUCGAAUUGCGAGUGCUUUUCGUGUAUUCAAGGUAUGAGUGGAUUAAAUACCGAAGUAUCCGAAAAUUUACCCGUUGAGAAUGGUCAUAUGAAAUAUACGGAUGACAGUUUGACUUUUAUAGGUGCAUCUGCUAGGGUUUAUUGAUAUGCUGUGGGGAUCUGGAAAAUGAGGAACAUGAUACGCAUGUUGCAUGAUGUAUGCUUUAUUUUCAUGAUGCAUGAAUGUUUCAUGUGGUGAUAUGGAUGUCAUUCACAGGGUAUGGUUUAUGGCAUAGAGGAAACUUCGAAUUGUCUCCAAUUAUACCAAAGAAAUUGUUAUUAUGAGAACGUUGUACAUUAACACCACUGUCGGGGAUCCCACAUGAUCCUACUGAAGAUCACAAAGAUACAUGAUCUAACUGGGCAAACAUUAAUACAUUUUCUAGAUGUUUAAACAAAAACUUUCAAUCUACCGAUCAUAUUUUAGGAUUCUUCAAGAGGUUAAAGCAAUGCAUAAGGUUUUCUUUUGAUGUAACUUUUAUUAUUCCCCAAAUUUUAUAGCAUUAUGUGAUAAAAAUAAAUUAGUUAUUUGGCAAAAAAAAAGCAGGAGAAUUGAAACGCACUUGAUAAAAGAACUGAAUUUUGUUGAUUGUAAACCAAUCUGUACAUAUGAUGUGUACAAGGAUGUGAAAAUCCUUAAAGAGGAAAUUGCAAAAAUUGAAAAGUAAAAGAAAUGGAAAUUGAUUUUUUUUUUGUAUUUUUCCAUUGAUUAUAACAUUGAAUGUCAUCCAUUGUAGGAAAUGAAUUCCAAAACUUCGCUUCGAUUGACGAUGAUUGGAUCGAGCUUCGGCCAUAUGAGAUCUAGCUUGUAGCAAGGUAGGCUCAAGGAACAUAGCCAAAUGCCUUUAUCGCUAACUUUUGCCUAGAUAUUUUCUAUUAUUUUCCGUCCAACGAGAUGCUCAUUCUUGUCUAAGUCGCCCUUUCAGGUUUUCAACUGAGCGAGCUUUAUACUUUUUUAUUUGAUCCCUAACUUUUGCAUGGACAAUUCAUUUUUUGGUCCAUUGGGAUAGCCAUUUUUGCCUAGAUUGAUCUUGUGAAGGUCAAUCUAGUGAGCUUUUAUCAUCACUUACUUUUAGGAAUAAUAUUUUUUGACUAUGUCAGCAUUCACUGGCGACGGAAAAUCUUCCCCAUCCAUUGUGGUGAGGAUUAGAGGUCCAACUGAGAAGGCCUUCUCAAUGACAAAAGGUUCUUCGUAUUUGGGAGUCCAUUUGCCUCGAGGAUCUGAGUGAAUAGUAGAGUAUCUCUUGAGCAUGAGUUCUCCUGCGCAGUACUCACGAGGAAGAACUUUCGUAUCAAAAGCCUGUUUGAGGCGUCUUUGGUACAACUGACCAUGGCAUAUAGACGUCAAAUGUUUCUCUUCAAUCAAAUUCAGUUGAUUAUACCGAGAUUGAACCCAUUUAGCUUCAUCAAGUUUAGCCUCCAUAAUAACCCUGAGUGAAGGAAUCUCAACUUCGAUUGGUAAAAUAACCUCCAUCCCAUACACUAAUGAGUACAGAUUUAUCCCAGUGGAUGUACGAGUCGAGGUCCUGUAACCGUGCAGAGCGAAGGGUAGCAUCUCAUGCUAAUCUAUAUACGUUCUGACCAUUUUCUGGGAAAUCCUUUUGAUGUUCUUAUGAGCCGCUUCUAUGGUGCCAUUCAUCUUGGGUUUAUACUUCAAAAGAGUUGUGGUGCUCGAUCUUAAAUUCCUCGUACAACCCCGUCAUCAUUUUAUUGUUGAGAUUACUGGAAUUGUCAGUGAUGAUCUUGCUAGGAAUUCCAUAGCGACAAAUUAUCUCUUUCUUAGUAAACCGAGUAACCAUCUAUCGAGUGACAUUGACAUACGAAGCAGCUUCAAGCCACUUUGUAAAGUAAUCAAUAGCAACUAGGAUAAAUCGAUGACCGUUGGAAGGUUUUGGCUCUAUCAUCCCAAUCAUAUCAAAACCCCACAUAGAGAAAGGCCAUGGAUACGUGAAAACAUUCAACGGAGUUGGUGGCACAAUGAUCUUGUCACGAUAUAUUUGACACUUGUGGCAUCUUUUAACAAAGUUGUAAUAGUAAAUCUCUAUUGUUGUCCAGUAAUACCCAUCCCGGAGAAUAUUAUUGGCCAUAGCAGGACCUUUUGCAUGUACACCCACGUAGCCUUCAUAUAUGGAUUUUAUGACCAUGCUUGCUCCGUGUCUAUCCACGCAUCUGAGUAGCACAAAAUCAUAAUUCCUCUUGUAUAACACAUAACCGUUUAAGAAAAACUUGGAGGAAAGUCUUCUUAAAGCUUUCUUAUCGGUAAUAGAUACACCCUCGAGAUAUUGUUGUUUCUCUAGAAAUGUCUUAAUGUCAUAUAACCCAGGCUUAUCAUCAGGAUCUACCUCGAUUGCUAGACAAUGUGCUGGUUCAUCCAGGUGGUCAAUAUGGAUAGAUGAUGCUUCAUUCUUCCAUUUGACCUUAAACAUGAAUGCCAACGUAGCUAGAGCGUCUGUCAACCGAUUCUCUUCCCUAGGGAUAUGAUGAAAAAAUAUUUCAUCAAAGUAGGGUAUCCAUUUUUAGAUAUGAUCUUUAUAAGUUAUCAAUUUGCUAUUCCGAGUCUCUCAGUCACCUUUUACCUAACUGAUUACUAGAGCUGAAUCUCCAUAUACCUCAAGAAUUUUAAUCCUUAAGUCAAUGGCUGCCUCAAUACCAUAAAUACAUGCCUCAUAUUUUUCCAUAUUGUUGGUGCAAGCAAAGUAUAAUCUAGUGGUAAAUGGAAGGUGGAAGCCAAUUGGAGAAGUGAUAACUGCGCCUAUUCCAUGACCACGAGCAUUGGAAGCGCCGUCGAACACGAGCGUCAAUCGCGAUCCUGGUUCGAGGCCUGGAAUAGCGUAAUCUCUGAUAAACAUGAUGUCUUCAUCUGGAAAGUGAAACCUCAACGAUUGAUAACCCUCCACAGGUAAAUGAGCAAGGUAGUCAAAUAAAAUACCCCCCUUUAUCGCUUUUUGAGUCACAUAUUGGAUAUCAUAUUCGGUCAACAACAUUUGCCACAUAGCAAUUCUACCAGGGACAGUAGGCUUUUCAAAUAUAUACUUUAUCGAAUCCAUUUUAGAUAUCAAUAAAGUAGUAUGGCAAACCAUGUAUUGUCUCAGGCGUUGAGCAGCCCAAGCCAAAGCACAACAAGUCUUCUCUAAAAGUGAGUAUCUGGUCUUACAUUCAUUGAAUUUCUUGCUGAGAUAAUAUAUUGCAUGUUCUUUCUUGCUUGUGUCAUCAUGCUGACCCAAAACGUAACCCAUAGAUUCAUCGAGUACCAUGAGGUACAUAAUACGAGGGCUACCAUGAACAUGUGGUAUGAGGAUUGGUGGUUCUUGCAUAUACUUCUUUAUUUUGUCAAAUGCCACUUGACAAUCAUUAUCCCACACAAUCAAUUGAUUCUUCCUCAAUAAUUUGAAGAUUGGUUCAUAGGUAGCUGUUAAAUGUGAUAUGAAUCUGGAAAUAUAGUUAAGCAGACCAUGGAAACCUCAUACUUCUUUUUCUGUUCGGGGAGGUGGCAUAUCUUGAGUUGCUCGAACUUUGUCGGGAUCAACUUCAAUGUCUUUCUGACUAACUAUAUGUUGGUGUAAGCCUUAGAGGCCAAUACUUUUUAUACUUGUAUCGAAUUAUUUAUUAAUAAUAAAAGGCUUUUUCUUUAUUAUGUUUGUCUAAUAAAGUCCCUAGAAUAGAUAGUCCGUUUAAUGUAUCAAGUGUGACUUAAUCAUGAGAUCACAUUAAACACAAGAACACUAUUCUUAAAGUAUCCAUAGUCGAGCUUUAUUGUGAAGUGGGAUGACAUUAAAGCAUUAAGACUAUUAUGUAUAUAGACUGAUGAUCACUCUCAUGGAUCAUGGAUAAGGAGUUAUCAAGUCUUAAACAUAGGUAUGAAGAUUAAGAGUAAUAUUUAUACUGGAUUGACCCGUUAUGAGAAUACUAUAUAGAAUGUUAUACAAAGUGUCAUAAGUUAUUCUCAUGGUGUAAAUGGUGUAUACCACCCUUCGACCUGAACCACUAUGGACCCUAGAUGUAGAGUCGAGUGCCUUAUUGCUGAUCAAACAUUGCGUAACUGGAUGACCAUAAAGACAGUUGAUGGGUACUCCACGAAGCAUGCUAAGGGACAUGAGUGACCUAGAUGGAAUUUUUCCAUCCUGCGUAACAGGAUAAAUGUCUAUGGCCCAAUAUUGAACUGGACAAGGAUGACACAGUCUAUGCCUUGUGUUUCAAUAUAGACAUAAGGGCAAAAGGGUAAUUUUACACAUAAGUAUUAUCACAAAAGGAUUGUCAGAUCCACAUGACAUUUUCGUGUCUUGGGUAGCAGUGAUGUGUUGCUAGAUACCGCUCACUGUUUAUUAUGUUAAAUACGUGAUUUAAUAUAAUUUCCAAUGCCGCGAAAACCUACAAGGUCACACACAAAAGAACGAAUUGAUGAGAGAUAGAGUAACUAAGGAAUACCGUAAUGUACGAUGCACUUAAGUGAAUUGUAGAACAUCGUAAGGUACGAUGUACUUAAGUAGAAUACGAAAUAUGGUAAGGUACCACGCGCUUAAGUGAUUUUGGUAUAUUAUAAGAUAUGGGCCACAUACACUUGAGUGGGCUUUUUAAGCUUGCAGCCCACACAAGUGGUUCUAUAAAUAGAACCCUUGUGUAGAAGCAUUUGUGCAGUUGCAAUUUCGUUUCUCUCUCUCUCUCUCUCUCUCUCUCACUCAAAGCCUUCAUUCGUAGCAGCUAGCAUUGAGAUUGAAGGAAUCCGUUCGUGUGGACUGAGUAAAGGCGUUGUCAUCGUUCAAUGUUCGUGAUCGAUCUGCAUCAAAGGUUACAAUCGCCACAAGACGUAACGAUUCUAUCACUGAUCAUGCCCAUUCGUAAGGAUCACUAAAGGAGAAAUUUUAAAUUCCGCUGCAUUUUAGAUCGCUCUUCUCCUUCACUAUGAAACCCAAUAAUUUACUAGAUCGGACCCAAAAAGUACACUUUGCUGGAUUGAAACGCAACUUGAACUUCCAGAGCUUGGCAAACAAUUUCCUCAGGUGUUCUAAUUGAUCAUCUUCAGUCAUGGAUUUUGAAAUCACAUCGUCCAUGUAAACCUCAAUCUCUUUAUGAAUCAUACCGUGAAAGAGGGUUACCAUGGCGGGUUGAUAUGUUUCCCCUUCAUUCUUCAAGCCAAACGACAUUACUUUGUAGUAGUAUGUUCCCCAAGGUGUGAUGAAAGUUGUCUUCUCCAUCUCAUCGAGCGACAUCUUUAUCUAAUUAUACGCUGAGAAAUCAUCCAUGAAGGAAAAAAUGGAAAACUGAGUUGUAUUAUCAACCAAAAUUUCAAUAUGAGGUAAAGGGAAGUCAUCCUUUGGACUCGUUUUAUUGAGGUGUCAGUAAUCUACAUACAUUCUAACUUUUCCGUCUUUCUUCGAACCGGAAUGAUAUUAGUCACCCACUAAGGAUAUUCAGAAAUAGCUAAAAAGCCAGCAUCAAACUGCUUAUUAACCUGUUCUCUGAUCUUGAGUGCCAUAUCGGGUUUGGUCCUUCUGAGCUUCUGUUUAACUGGAGGACAUUCAGGAUUGAGUGGCAAGUAGUGCUCAGCAAUGUUGGUGUCCAACCCUGGCAUAUCUUGAUACGACCAAGAAAAGACGUCAACAUAUUCAUGCAGUAGCUUAACCAACUCGAAGUGUACAUGCUCGGCAAGAGAUGCCCCAAUGUUUACCUAUUUUUUGUCUGUUUCAGAACCCAAGACAAUAACAUCCACCGGUUCUUUGUAUGGUUGAAUCUCUUUCUCCUCGUGCUCAAGGAGCCUUGCUAGCUCAGCCGAUAAUUCACAAUCUUCCUCACUAUCAUCUUCAUCUUGGUUAAUUGGAAGCCCAAACUUACAACAAAUUCUUGCCAUGUUGUUAUCAAUGGUUUUGUUUGCUCUGCAUGUUAUGAGCUUAUUUUUAGUAUGCUUUUUAAUAAAGUGAAAAAAUAAAAAGAAACUUUUGCCAUUUCAUCUUUUGUGAAAAAUUAAAAUAACUGAAAGAAAGGGAACACAAUUUUGAAUGCAAAACACUUUCUUUAUUUAACCACAUAAUACUUUUAAACAAAUAGGCCCUUACAAUCUAUCCUCUUGUCUUGGGAGAAGACAAGGGAUUAAGAAAACAAAAAGAAUUAGGUUUCUUCUGAAUAUACUAUUGGAAUCCCGAAAGUCAUCUAGUUGGAAAGCUUGAAUCCGGAGGACAUCUGCGUACAAAACUGAAAGUGUCCUAUUUGCUGCCACUAGAUUCUCCAAUAACUGCCACUGUGUGAUUGUCUUGGAAACCUGUUAUAGCGGUAAAAAAAUUGAGAUCAACCUAUUGAUUCACUUAACUCAUAAAUCAAGAGUCGCCACCAUGCUUUUAUUGUUUCCAAAGGAAAAGGGAAAAAGUACGAACAAAACCCGAAGAAGUUUUAAAACAAAAAUAAUAAAAGAGAACAAGGGUUUUGGGGUUAGUUAUGCAAAAGAAGGGUAUUAGUACCCUAAACAUCCAUGGUACUCCAUGGGAACCUCUUUGAAAAUAUGCCUUUUGGUUUGAAAAGGGUGUUAUUUGUAAAAGAUUGGAGAGAUGGGAAAAGAAUUUUUUUUAUUUAUUUAUUUUUUGUGUGUUUGCCAAGACCUUUGAAGUCUCAUGCCUACGUACCAACAAAGUGCAAUGGAGGAUCAAAAACUUGUAGUUCGUGGUAAAAGUAACAAAGGAGUUUGUUUUGAUUCAUUUUUUAUGAGAAUACAUUUUGUCAUUUUAAGGAGAAUACUCAACUAGUCACCCACAAGUAUGGGUACUUUGCAUUAUCAUGAGAAAGACUCUAACUUGGAUAAGGAUCAACAAGUAUGCCACUAACUCUCACAGAUGGAAAAGAAUUGUCAUCAAUACUAUGGGGAUAAGAGAAUUAUAUCUCAAUUAUGGAAAUGACUCAUGUCUAAUACCUUGAGAGAAUAUUUUAAAGGAAAAGUUCAUAGAGGCACAAAAUGAUUUGAAUGAGUUAUGCAUUUUUUAGUCUUUUGAAAUUGGUCUAAACAUGCUUAAGAUAGAUUAACAUUUAUUUAAGAAAAAGGUUUUCAAAAUCACUUGAUAAAAGUCAAGGUUUAUUGAGAAAGCAAUUCAAGUUUAAAGCAAGAAGGUUUUGAAAAAGAGAGAAGAUUUUGAAAAUUAAAGAAGGGGGGAGGAGAAGAAGAGACUAUCCUAAAGCAUAAAGUAAAAGCUAGGGAGGAAAGAUCUAACUAAGAAAUAACAAUCUUUAUGACAUAAGUUAAACAAGAAUCCCCUCCUCUGGAUUAAGCCUCAAGCAAGCCAGAAUAAGCAAAUAAUAAUCCAUGUAUUAGAUGAAACCAGAGUAACUCAACCACAACUUUAAAAGGAAAUCCCAGGUCAAAGGUACCAGAUGAACUCUAGGGUCUCAAAUCACAAGUCUCAAAGCAAAUGUCAAGAUCCUAAUCCUAAGUCCAUAACUCCACAAUGAUGCCAAUGAUAGUAACCACAAGUCCAUGAAUCAGGAUAACCAAGUUUCUUUUUUUAGGUUUUUCUUUAUUAAUGUCUUUUUUACAAUGAUAUAAAAGAAAAGUCCAAAUUGACAAAGAACAAAUGACAAAAACCAUAAAUAAUAUGAUAUGGAAUGCUAAAUAUAAAGUAUAAAGUAAAUGACAUAAAAUAAAGGAGCAUAAAUUAAAUGACUUGGAAAUAAAAGUUAAUACAAGUAAAGUGUUAGUAAAGGAUGUUAGUAAUCAAAGAUGAAAUAUGAAAGAUGGUUUGGUCACUUUUUGGAGAACGCUCAACUAUCCACUCACAAGCAUGAAAAUAUGAACCUAUAGAUCAUUUAUGAGAAGGGCUCCAACUUGGAUAAAAUCAAUAAGUAUGCCACUAACUCUCACAAAAUGGAAAAGGAGAAAAAUUUUCAUACAAUACCAUGAGAAAUAGGAGACUUACAAUCUCACUUAUAAAAAUGCCUUUUUUUCCUUGGGACAAAUUUAGCGCUAUGUUAAGCAAUCGUAAUUGGACUUAUAUAGAAGUCACAUCUAUCUGAGGUCGGUCAAUAAUAAUGUUUGUGUUAUCACAUGCUAGAGAAAUGAUAUGUAAAUCAUUCUCCUAAAUACAUGCCACACAAAAAAAGAAAGAAAAGGGAUGAUCAACCAUAAAAGCUAGGAGGAUGAUCCAUUACUUUAAUCCAUACUUUAUAACACUUAGGACAAACUUAUGCAUCAAUCCGAAGUACCUUAAAUGAUUCAUGAUCAAUUAGGAGGUAGAUUUGAAAUGAUGAAAGUUCAUCAAGUACCAAUCCAUACAUCAUGAACAAGAUGAACACAAGUCAUCCAAUUGAUCGAAGGGAAAAGAAAUAGAUGAAGAAGAGAGGCACAAGAGAAGUCACAUCCAAAUUGGAUCAAAAGUUUGAUCAAAUCAUCAUUAAAAUCAAUCAUCCAUUUUGGUGGAGUAGGGUUUUCACCCCAUCAACACCCAAGAUCCAUUGAGUUUGAUGAGACUUGAAGUCCAAACCAUCAUGAUCCAAGGCCAACAGAAGUUCACAAGGGUCACACAAAAUAAAAUGCAAUUAACUGAAAUAAAAAUGCAUCAAAGGUAUUUUUAAAUGAAUUUUAAAAUAGAAAUAAAAUGGAAAAUUCAUAAAGUCUUUCAAAAACACCAAAUAAAUUUCCAAGAAAAUUAUGGAAGGUUGUAAAUAAAAUAAGAAGCAUAUAAUAAUUUUUCCAGAAUUAUAAAAUACAGAAAAGUUAUUUUAAAACUAAUUAAAACAAAGGAGAAAAGGAAAAAUUCAUGAAAAAUAGAAAAUCAGUGAAAUAAAAUAUGAAAAAAUAAAAAUCAAAUGAAGAAAAAUAAAAGAGAAUUUUAGAAAUUAUUUUGGGAUUUUUUGGAUAAAAAAUGAAAUUACCAUGAAUUUUAAAAGAAAAAGCAACUAAAAAUAAAAAAAUAGAAAAAAUAAAAAUCAGAAAAAAUACUGAGCUUUGGAUCACGCCUCAUUAAUUGACAUGGCAGAUCCAACACUUCAUAUGUUAGAGAAUACGAUGGAACGUGCUGCAAGCUAAGCAUAAUAUCUAGUUUAAAUUCAACCAAUCAGAACAUUUCGUUCCUCCAACAUGUCUGAUCAAACUCAGACAACCUGAGAAAACUCCGGUCAUCUUCUCUAGUGAGCUCUCACCGAAGUUUCAUUGUUUGGUAAAUUCAAGACACGAGACCACCACCAUUGCGAUCCUCUUCUCAUCCUGAAUUCAAUCUUAUACUCCAAUUUCAUUUAUAUAAACUGAGCAAAGGGAAUUUCAGAGAAGUUUCCGAAACAAGCAGGCCACGAAAAAUAAAAUUAAAUGAUGAAUACGAUCAAUCAACACCAUAUAAGUUAAGGGAUAACAUCAGAGAGUGAAGGACUACAUUGUGGUAACUUGUUUGAGUUCAAAUGAUGCUCAGAACUACCUUAUCCAGAUGGUGAUCAGAAGUUGAUGAAGCUCGAUCUGGUUAGAGUACUUCAGAAGGUCUUAGAGCUUGGGAAUUGUUGCAAAAGUUUCAUAGGAUGCCGAAGGUGCUAAUGUAAUUAAGAAAUUGGAUUGAAACAAGAUGAAACUCAAAACUCGAAAGUUGAUUUUUCUGGAAAUAUUUCAAGUUGCAGCAGGGAUUUCUUGGCUCUCCAAAGUUUGGAAAUUAAUACGUGUGAAAUGAUGCAGAAUUCGUGCAAAAUGAAUUUGAUCCGAGUGUGUGAAAAGUGUGACUUGAAACUCAUCAAAACUCAGCCAAAUGAUACGUUUUAAGGGUCAAUUAACUUCUUGAGACUUGUUUAAACAUGUUUAGGUCCAAAACACAUGCUAAUUUGGCUUGGAAUUGAGAUUAGUGAAGUUCAAAACUCGAGCAAUGACAAUUUCUUUAGUUACAAGUCACCAUGUUCAACCCAAUGGGGCACCCUACUCAGGAAGCUUUUUGAUCUCAUUAUUUUUGCAAUGUGUUAACAUCAUGGCCAAAAUUACAAUGUGCCAAGAAAGUUUGCAUUUGGAUGCUUGAGCACAAAGUUAUGUCAUAUUGAAGCUGACAUGAAAAACUGAUCAUAUAACUUAGAAAAAUUUGAGUGCUUCAUGGUUGAAAAUGACCUAUAAUGUCUCAAUGAAUUCCAUGGCCUUCCAAGCAUAUUUUGACCUUGAUCCUUGAAGUAAACUUGUAGAGGGCAUCACCAGUGAUAUUGUGCAAAAUGAAAAAGCCUCAUAUAUUAAAAAUUGAAGAAGUUAUGAUCUUUCAAAGUUGGGGAAAAAUCACUUGAAAAUAGGUCAAAUUUCACUAAGUCCACAAAUGACCUAUAAUGUCUCCAAACUUUUGAUGAUCCUCCAAACAUAAUUUGCUCUUGUCAUGUAAAUAUAAGUUGUAGAGGAUGUUGAUAAGAGUCAUUUGGAUCACUACUACAUUUUCAUAAGUGGGAAAAGAAGAGAUUUAUGUUUCCUAGAUUUUGUGCUUCAAGUGAUUCAUAUGCAUGUCACGUCCUGUAUUUUGCUUGGUUUUCGUUUAAUAUUUAAUAAAAAAAAGAAAUGAAGGAUGACCAAGUGAGUCUAAAAAAAAUGAAGAAGUGUAUUCUAGGUGAAAUGAAGUAACGGGAAAUUCUUUUCAGUUUAUACAUACCUUGGUCAGUUUUUUUAUUUUUUACUUAAUUCAGUAUCAUCAUUAUUCAGGUUGAAAUGUUACACCCAUAUAUGUAAGCAUUAACCUUUGGUAGUAAUUAGAGAGGUCCUAUUAGUAGUUUGCGGUUUUUCAAAUCUACUUUCUUUUUCCUUUUUGACUAUUUUUUUAUUAUUAGCAGUAGUAUUUAGGUUUUAUUAAAGAUUUUGUAUGUGGGCCAUUAAAAUGUUGAGAAGAUAUGCCUACUUUUUUUAAAAUUAUUUUGUGUACCCUUGUUUACAAAUCAUACAUUUUAUAUGUUAGAAUAAAUUUGUAGACUUUAUAAUAAUAUGGUGCUAUCGUUGUUUGAUUUUAAUUCAUUGCAAUAAAAUUGGAUUUUUAAUCCACGGAUUCGACAAUUUUAUGUCGAUAUGCCGCCCAAGUUUCAAUACAUUGAGAAGAUAUUUUCACCGUGUUUCGAUCCACAUACGACACUCCAACUUCUUUAUCGCUAUGUACAAACCGGUUUAUGAGCACAUUGUCACCAAUUCAGUUAAAUAAAUCUAUAUCGUCACUUAAUUCUUUCUCUUUUAAUCAUAAUAGAAUAAUUAAUUUUUGGCCAAUUAGAUUAAUUUUAAUUAACUUAAUUAUUUAACUUAAUUAAAUAAUUUUGAUAAUUAAUUUAGUUAAUCAAUUAAAUAGAACUUCAAUCAAUUAAUUUUGAUAAUAAAAAAUUGAUCGAUUUCUUUCACUAUCACCCUUUCGCAUCAUUUCAAAACCAAAACCCGGUCAGUCUCACUCAUAAGCGAAAGUCUUAGUCCAAUGUCGAGCAUUUUUUAUUUAAAUCCGUUUAACCGUGCAAAUUCAAGUCAUUUUUCUAAACCAAUACAAUUUAUAAAGAAUAUUCUUUUAUAAUUUAAAUCGGAUGAAAAAGAAUAUAGGAAGUGUUCGCUUCACUAUUUCUCAAGUACUCGAACGAUUGGCGUACGCCAUAUUGCUCGAAUUCUUGUCACCCGAUUAAAAGCUUCAAUCAUAAAUUCAAAUAACUUUUAUAAAUUAAAUAUAAUUUUUAAAGACUUUAUUUUUAUAAUUAAGCUUUGUAUGAAAAGGAGUAUAGUAAGCAUCCGCUUCACUAUCUCUCGAAUAUUCGAAUAAUUGGUAUUCGCCAUAUUGCUCGAAUUUUCGCCAUCUAAUUAAAACCUUAUCAAAUUCGAAUUUGAUGCGUUUCUCCUAAAUUAAUACAACCUCAAAGAAUAUGUCUUUUAUAAAUUAAAUUUCGGAUGAUAAAAGAUGGGAGGCGUUCGCCUCAACAUCUCUCGAAUAAUUGAAUGAUUGACGCUUGCCAUAUUGCUUAAAUUAUUGACUUCCGAUUAAAACACUCUAAAUAAACUUGGAUAAAGGAAUAAGUGGCGCACGCCUCAUUAUUCCUCGAAUAAGUAAGUGGGAGGUGUUCUCCUUACUACCGUGCAUAUUCGAUUUCCGCAAACAAUCUUUCAACAAUAAUUUAAACGAAAAAGGGAGUAGAAGGCGUUCACCUUAUUAUUCUUCGAAAGAAUUGAACGAUUGGUGUGCACCACAUUGCUCAAUCUUUUGUCGUUCUUCAAAAAAAAUUAUUAAACACAUUAAAUCUAUCUGUCCUCGCCCCCGUGCGAUCAAAACCAACCAAACAAAACAUCUAACAUAUUCAACUUGUCACCCCCGUGUGACCAAUACUCUUUUCAAAAAGAACACUAUUUAAUCCUUUCUAAUACGCACAACAAACUAGUGUUUAAGCCUCCGCCGAGAGUAGACAAGCCGAUGUUUAGCCUUUAGAACGUGAACUAAACAGUCGUUCAUAAAAGACACCAACCAAUCGUAGUCCCCCGAACUACGAAUGCUCUGAUUUCCUUAUUUCACUAUAAGAAUACGUAGGCAUGAGAUUGCGAGAUCUUGGCGAGCACACUAAUAAAAAACCUCCCUUUUCCCCCUUUUUGAGGUUUCCAUCCAUCUCUAUUUUAAAUCUUUUAUUCACUCGAAGAAAAUAAAUAACAUAAGUUAACAUUCAAAUCACAAAUUCAACUAAAAGGUUCCCGUUGAGUACAAAGAACGUGAGGGGUGCUAAUACCUUCCCCUUGCGUAAUCGACUCCCGAACCCAAAUAUGGUUGUGACGACCAUUAUUCUAUUUUUUUAAAGGUUUUAUCGAUAUUUUCCUAUUCCUUCAUUAGGAUAAAUAAAGUUCGGUGGCGACUCUGUUCGAACUAAAUUUUUUCCGUGACCAUCGCGAGGGAUCACAUUUUUCGAGAUACGAUAGAUGGCGACUCUGCUGGGGAGCUUGCUUCUAGCAAGAGAGAGUCAAACCUGAUUUAGUCAAAUUUGCUAUGAAUGUUAAAAUAAUAUUCCUUUCUUCCAUGUUGCUUCUCUGUAUCUUAUUAUGUUGCUUAUGUUGUAUGUGAUUUAUUUUGAUGCUAUGAUAUGGGGUUUGAUGUAUGCUGUGAGAUAAGCUUCAUACCCAAGUUGUGUAGUAUUGAACCGAGGGGUAUACACCUCGUUGGAACGAUACGAAGACUCCACCUAGAAUAGAUCUGUUUGGAAUCUCCAUCACAAUAUUGUGGGGAAAUUCUAAAUACGACCAGUGACUCUAGGAACCUCGCCUUAAACCUAAGUUUUGUUUUCAUGAUUGGAGAUUGUGUAGUAUUAAACCGAAGGGUCUACACCCUAUUCGAACAAUAUGAGAAUCCCACUUAGAUUAGAUCAGUGCAAAACUCCCAUCACGAUAUGGCCAGCCCACCAUUGCGAGGAAGUUUUGAACAUGAUUCGUGAUUCUAAGUUCUUUCAUUGAAAACAUAACUUUAGAACCUACCUUUGGGAUUUCUAAGUAAUCAGAAACCUUUGUUUUUUCCUAUUAUCCUGACUUACAUGACAUAUGAAUGAUCAUGAGUAUUCGUAUUCCUUUGCGAAAGAAAGCAUGACGAAAUUUCAUGCAUUUGCAGAUCAUCAACAUGAAUUGCAUAUCAUUGUCCAGAAACAAAAACUUACACCAUAUUCCACCCUUUGUCCAGUAACACUAACUACUCGACACCGGACUUUUUGAGAUUUUUUACCCCGAACUAUGAGGUUUUGAUCCUACCUUUGUGAUGGUAUGUAGGCAAUGGGUUCAUCCAUUCAAACAACAAAAUUGUAAAUAAUAUGUAUAUUCUUUUCUCAUCUCCCCAAUCAUGUUUGCACAAAUCUUUUCACAAAUACCAACCUACAAUACACACUUGCAAAAAGGGCUCCCUUAGAGUACUAAGGAUGUUUUGGGUGCUUAAAACCUUCCCAUUUCAUAACCAACCCCCUUACCCAGAUCUCUGACAUUUUAACAAAUACCAACCUACAAUACACACUUGCAAAAAGGGCUCCCUUAGAGUACUAAGGAUGUUUUGGGUGCUUAAAACCUUCCCAUUUCAUAACCAACCCCCUUACCCAGAUCUCUGACAUUUUUAUUAUUUUUUGUUUUCAUAAAACUUCUUACUUGGUUUUUGUUCGCUUUCUAACCUUUCCUUUGGAUAAAUAGAAGUGCGGUGGCGACUCGAAUUGUAUGAUUACUUUUGAUUUAGUCAAUAAAUCAUAAGGUAACGAAUACCCCGCUACAACAGCCAACUUACCAACAAAAAAACCAAAAUCAACAGCAACGUGCUCCACAACAACAUCAACCUAACCAGCAGAGAGUAAGGAGACCAGAAAGACAUUUUGAUCCUUUGCCAGUACCAUACAACAAGAUCCUUCCCUACUUGCUAAAAGGUGGAUCAAUCACGUUGAAAGAGCUAACGCCUGCGACUCCACCCUAUCCACCAGGCUAUGACGCUAAUGCUCAUUGCGAGUAUCACCUGGGUGCCCCAGGGCACACAGUGGAGAAUUGUAAGGCCUUCAAACACAAAGUUCAAGACCUGAUUGAUAGUAAAGUAGUUUCUUUCACGCCAGUUAGGCCAAAUGUUGCGACAAAUCCCAUGUCGGUGCAUGUGGAGCAGUAAGUGAAUUUCGAAGAUAAAGCUUCACACCAGCCUGAACAAGCAGAACAACUCCUAAUGAAGUUGGUCCGACAGUGAAUCAAGAGAUGAACGCCCUUUUCUUUGAAUGAAGGCAAUCAUUAUGCCAUUUUUACCAUUUUACAUUCUUGUAAUUUGUUCUUGUUUGUCUAAGUACUGUUUGCUUUAAACAUUGUUAUUUAUAUUUGGUCUUAUUAAUGGAAUGAUUAUACAUAUUUUGAAUCAAUCCUUUCAUAUUCACUCAUUUAUUGCAAAGCACAAACACAUACGUUUCCAUUUCACUCUCUUUAUCACACUAUUGUUAGCAAGUAUUGGAAGGAGGAUGACGAAAACAAAAUGCCCAUAAUUAUUGACUUAUGCUUUUAGAUAAAACCUCGCUGAUGAUGUACAAGCAUUUUUUUAAAUCCCCAAACACUAGAGAGAUAAGGAGUUAAUCCCUAGUCAACCACUUCGAGCCUAGAAGUAGGAGUUUCUUUCGGAUCUACAAACCCUUACAUUUAACCAAGGGCAGGGUAGUGUUCAGUUAAUCUGACUUCACAUCUGAAUUGCAAGAAGAAGUAUCCCAUCUAUGGACCAACCACAUGAUAUUCUUCGCACACAUCCUGAAGUAUCGAAGGAACCAUACAAAAUCCAAAUUUAUGUCGGUUGUUCUUCAAUAACCAAUGACUUGGCAAUCACAAUUUUCAAAAAAAAUCAAAGAAAGAGCCCACUAAGUCGAACACCCUAAAAGGAGACUUAGGCAAAAAACUGGGGCAAUCCUGAUGGAUUAAAGCUUCAAAAGACGGUCCAUGCAAAAGUUAGGGAUCAAAACAAAAAUUAAAAGAGACAAUGAAAGUCCUCAAUAAAACAAAACAAGAUUCGGUGGCCACUAUACCGAAAUCAAAGGGUCACUAACAAUCCAUGAAGAGCAAAAUAAGAUGACUGUCAUUUCAAGAGAUCUUACACUUCCGAACUCUCGUAAGAGUAAAGUGUGUGUUGAGUUAACUGAACAUAGGAUUGGAGAUCAUCAUGAAGAAGGGGUGGGUUUAAAUAAACUUUGAGCCUUAUAUCCUUUUGUUUCGAUAAUCGUGAACCAAGCCACGUUACAACCCUCAAAAGACCUAAUUGAAGUAAGGUUUAUUCUAAAAGCAUAUUACAUCAAGGUUGUGUAAGCUGACUCCUAGAGAUUUGCUAAUAUUAUAUUCUCAUUGUAUCACUCACACGCUAGCUAAUUCAACACCGCGAUUGGACUCAUGGUCCACUCAUCACACACUACCACAACAUUCCAAAUAAAUGGUUGUUUUUCAAAACUUGCAUAAAUAUUGCAUUAAAAUCACCAUUCCUUGAAUGAAAAAUUCUUAACUGUAAGUCAGUACUUGACAUCGAGGAAAUUCCAACAAGGGGCAAUUCGAGAGGUACGUGAUCGUUGGUACCGACACGAAUCAAAACCACCUCAUAAUCCUAUGGAUCAGGGGCAGGGCAAUCUAAUGAUUAUGUUGACCUAAGAUUUUACCAGCAUAAGAUAAGUCUCCAGGAAACAGUUGACCAUGGAGGAAACACACUUCAAUACUCAGUUCGUAUGGGGAAAGUCCCUCGAAAACUCAGUUAGGGGAAAAUUACCCCAAGAGUACAGUAGAAACCAACUCAUAAAGAUUAGUCGAUUAAAGAGAACCGUUUCAAGAACCAGCUAAUCAGGGGCAUAUUGUUGCAAGAUUUAGACGUUGGAGGAAACAAACUCAGACAAUGUCAUGGGAUAACACUCCUAAAAGUUUCCUUUUAAGGAGAGUCCCUUUAAAUACCUUACAGACUGGGGCAAGACAAGUUGUAAGGGGCAAAUUCCCUCCAUAUCUUCAAGUGGGACAAGCAGACUGUGUCAGACACUAGUAACUGUUUGAGUUCACAACAAAAAUGUCGAAAGUUCAUGCUAGUGCAACAUCAUUGACAAGAAUCCUUAAGGCAUAUAAAAAGCAUAAUCAUCAUGUGUUGACCAUGUCGCUAUGCUGAUUUACAGACCUUCCGGACCCCUCAGAAGAAGAAGUCAAGAUCUGCUCAAGGACAAAUACACAACUUAGCAGCAAGAAAUCAAACUUGGGGCACCAAGAGUAUCCACAUCCGUUGUUUGAUCAUCACAUCAUCAACUACUGAGUGUCGGGAAGUCAGAUCCUACCACCAACCAAUAGUCCAAUCCAUAUUGGCAAUUACCAAAGAAAAAACCAAAGUUGACCUUGUUGGCAUCCUCGUAAAACCAGAUACAAUCAGUACUGGUACCCAGAAAAGAUAUCGCCUUCGAUGAAGGGAAGGCCAACCCUAAAUAACCAAUCUUUAUUGCAUUCAAACAUGUGUCAUAUGCAUCACUUCAUGCAUAACAUUUCAAGAAUAAAAGUGUGACAUGCAUCAUUGCAUACAUAUCAUUUAUACACAUAACACGAGUCAGGAUCCAGGGUUAAUCAUAAGUAUCCAGGUCAAUCCUCAGUUACUUCUUUGGUAUCUUCUCUGAGUGAGUUCCUACCCUAUGUUGUUUUCAUUGGGUGUUCCCUAUUGAGUUACAUUCAUUUAACCUUUUGUUGAUGAGAUAUUAUCCUUAGUUAAGUCAAUGGUAUUUCUUUGAAUAAAUUCCUACCUUGUUUGUUUCUCAUUGAGCGUUCCUCAGUAAGUUUGUUUCCUUUAACCUUUUAUUGAUGGAAAUUAUAUCUUUCAGAAAAUACUUUUCUGCAACCUGUUGUUGUUGAAAUCCCCAAGCAAGUCUUACCCAUUGAUGUUCUAAUACUACCCAGUUGGUUCUAUUGAACUCUUGUUAGUAGCCUUUUUUCCAACAGGUUUUUCUUACUAUCAUCCUUUUGAUGGAAGUCCCUUGAUGAAUAAUAUUAAUCAUCGUCCUGUUUACGAUAGCCAUUAUCCUUUUGGUAAUGGUAAAUCCUUGACAUUUGCGAUCUCAUCGUCAUCCUUUUGGUGACGACGGCCCCUGAAGUUUUGGUCUAACCUUCAUCCUUUUGGUGAAUGGCAACCUCUCAUUACUAAACCUUAUUGUCAUCCUUUUGGUGGUAACAAGUUUGGCCGUUUGAUCUUAUUGUCAUCUUUUUGGUGUCGACGAUCCUUGAAGUUUUGGUCUAACCUUCAUCCUUUUGGUGAAUGGUGACCUCUCAUUAUUAAAUCUUAUUGUCAUCCUUUUGGUGGUAACAAGUUUUGUCGCUUGAUCUUACCGUCAUCCUUUUGGUGUUGGUGAUCCUUGAAGUUUUGGCCUAACCUUCAUUCUUUUGGUGAAUGGUGACCUCUGAAAUUAUUACAGCUUAUCGUCAUCCUUUUGGUGUCGGCGAUCCUUGUGGUAAUAGAGGUCCGUGUCAUUAUGGUUCAACCAUCAUCCUUUUGUUGAUGGUGAUCUCUGUUAUUAUGUCUAAUCAUCAUCCUUUUGGUGAUGGCGUCCAGUUUGAUCUAAACGUCAUCCUUUUGGUGAUAGCGAUUGUUGAGUUUGGUUUAAACUAUCAUCCUUUUGGUGAUCGCGAUAUUUGGCAAGUUCAAUCUUACUGUCACCCUUUUGGUGUCGGUGAUCUUUGCGGUUAUGAUCUUACCAUUGUCCUAUUGUCAAUGGCGAUCUUUACAAGUUAUGGUCUUACCUUCAUCCUUUUGGUGAUGGUGAUCAUUAAGUUUGUUUUGACUUAUUAUCAUCCUUUUGGUGGUAAUAAGUUUUGUUUUUGAUCUUACCUUCAUCCUUUUGGUGAUGGUGAUCAUUAAAGUUGUUGUGACUUAUUAUCAUCCUUUUGGUGGUAACAAGUUUUGUUGUUUGAUCUUACCUUCAUCCUUUUGGUGAUGGUGAUUGUUGACUUAUUAUCAUCCUUUUAAUGGUAACAAGUUUUGUUGUUUGAUAAUACCUUCAUCCUUUUGGUGAUGGUGAUCGUUGACUUAUUUUCAUCCUUUUGGUGGUAAUAAGUUUUGUUUUUGAUCUUACCUUCAUCCUUUUGGUGAUGGUGAUCAUUAAAGUUGUUGUGACUUAUUAUCAUCCUUUUGGUGGUAACAAGUUUUUUUGUUUGAUCUUACCUUCAUCCUUUUGGUGAUGGUGAUUGUUGACUUAUUAUCAUCCUUUUGGUGGUAACAAAUUUUGUUGUUUGAUAAUACCUUCAUCCUUUUGGUGAUGGUGAUCAUUGAAUUAUUAUCAUCCUUUUGGUGGUAACAAGUUUUGUUUUUAUCUUACCUUCAUCCUUUUGGUGAUGGUGAUCAUUGAAGUUAUUGACUUAUUAUCAUCCUUUUGGUGAUAACAAGUUUUGUUGUUUGAUCUUACCUUCAUCCUUUUGGUGACGGUAAUCUUUGAAGUUGAUGAGUUAACUAUCAUCCUUUUGGUGGUAGUCUUGCUAUUAUCCUUUCGGUAAUGGAAAGCUUUAUCAGGAUAACCGUCAUCCUUUUGGUGAUGGCGAUCGUUGAAGUAUUGGUUUAACCAUCAUCCUUUUGGUGAUGAUGAUCCUUGAAGUCGUUGUGAAUUACUAUCACCCUUUUGGUGGUGGCCAUUUUUAUUAAUUCUACUGUCAUCCUUUUGAUGCCAGAAACCUUUUCAGUUUUAGUCUCACCAUUGUCCUUAUGUCAAUAACGACCUUUGUAAGAUUUAAGUGUCCACUCGAGGGUUGACAUGGAUUUGAGGUCCUACUCCAAAAACCUUGGUGCUUCUAAAACUUGUUACAUUUUCUUUCUGCAUCUCUCCAUUGCAAUUCAAAGGACAAAAUUCGGGUCUUUUUCGUAUUUAAUUAUCUUCCACCAUGAAUGUAUGAAGACUGUUGUCAUUCUUACCUUCUAGUUCAAUAUAAUUAAAUAGGGGCAGCUGUCAUACCCCAAUUUUGUCCGAGCAUUUUAAAAUUUUCAUGAAUUUGAUUUCAUUUUUUAAUUUGCAUCAUAUGUACAGCAUAACAUGCAUUUCAUCAUGAAUAGUACCUAAAAUAUCGGUCGGAAUAAAUUAUCGAAAAUACAGACAAAUUGGUUGAAUCAUUUCUCAAAUGUGUGCAGAAUCAGCGGGUAAAAAGUUUCGAAAUUAAACUUGUAGACGCCAGUAUUAUUAAUCUACGGUUCACAUAGUUUAACCUGGUAUGCUCGUUGUAUUUUUCGGCGACUUUUUCGGUCGCAUUUUGACCCGUAUGAGCCUUUUAACCGGUGAAACUUUAUUUCAAAAUUUAAAGAAACGCUGUAUUUUUUCAAUAAGAAUAUUUCACAUUUAUCGUUUUAAUGCAUUCAGUUUAAUUUUUCGAAUAUAUUUGCGCCCGAUCCUUAUUUAUUGUUCAUCAUUUCUUUUUUAUUUUUUUAGCAAAGUUAGCCUUUGGUUUUAUUAGAAUUUAAUAAAGUUAGUAUUGAAUUUAUUAAAGAUAAUAGAUUUUAUUACUAAUAUUCAAAAUAAUAAAAAGAAUAAAAAUAUAUUACCAUUCCAUUCCAUAUGUGACAGCUCAUUAAUAUCUCUCAUAAGCUGGGAGGAUAAGAACAAAGAAAAGAGAGAAAUUUUCGGUGGGAGUAACACCUGCACUUCCCACGCGUCCUCUCUCAACGACUUUAUGGAGAGGAAACAGCUAGCAAAUAAAAACAAAAAGGGAAAAUCAAUACUCCCUCCAAUGAGGAAGCGACACGCAACUACAAGACUCUUCCUCUUCCCAAAAUUCAUGACGAACUAAAAAGAAUACCCUCUCACUCUCUCAGUGAACGCAAAGGAAAAGAAAAGGACUUCACAAAAAGAGACUGGGGGGACCAACAGAAAUGGAGGAAAAUACUCUCUCUCCCAUCAUUACGCUCUAAAAAAACAGGGAAAAAGAAUGGAACGAAAAAACAAAGACUUUUCCUCUUCUCCAUAACUAUUUCCCUGCUUUUUCACCAUCAACUACUGAUCUUCCACGCUCACCACAUCAUCACGCCAGUGACACCCUCCUUUCGCGAAAACCACCACCCCAAAUCGCCAUCACAACACCGCACCAUCUUCACAUACCAAAUCGAUGCCGUCAACCACCACCUAUCAACUUCCUCUUUCCCACAGCAACCUUCUUCUUCUGCAUCAACCCAUACCGUUGUCUCCUACGAUUCACUUCCCUCUCUCCAUUUCCAACAUCUACGAGUUGCGACACGAUACUUUCCUCCAUUUAACCUCCAUCCCAUAUCCGAUCCUCUUCCGCUUCGCACCACCAAACCUUCGCCGCCACUAACGAACCCUCAAAACAACAAGCUCCGACGACAAAUUCCCUUAGUCCGCGCCAUGCCGUGAAUCCAUCAACUACCACCAUAGCCUUCACGCCGACGAGCUUCACCAACCCAAAUUCAACUCCUCCGCCUCCCUCUUCGUCGUCACCGUCAACCACAACCUCACUCUUCUACAUCCUCUACACUUCCGUCAACAAACCCCUCUCAAUCCACCGUUAAAUAUUCGGGUCAACACCAUAAACUCGCCGCCGACCACCUUCCCCUUUACUCUUCUUCCUCAACAUCAACUUGACCCACACGACAACCGUCGCCGUCCCCCACCACGACUUCACUACCCCCGACUUCUCUUCACGCGCGAAACCAACAACGACCCCUUUCCUGAUCUGCUCGCACCCUUCAUCACAAGCGGAAACUCGGAGAACUAAACUUGUCAUUUACAAAAACUCAACAGUCUCAAUUAGAAGUUUAAGGGGAGGACAGGUUUAUCGCUAUGGUUAAUGGUUCGUUGGAGAUUAGUGGGAUGUAGCAGGUGAAUGAUCUAAUGCUCAUUGAAGAUUUGAGUUUGUAGUUAUGAUUUUGCAAAGAUAUUGAGAAAUAAUUGUUAUAGUCCUUGAACCGUGAAAUCUAUCAGCAAGGCAUUGAAACGUUGGGACGGUAACAUUUCAAUUCCUUUGUAUACGAUAUUUUGUUUGGUUUGAUUCUCGACUUAACCACAUUAAGGUUGUUUUUGGAUAUUGUAAAUCAUUUGGAUUACUACUGCAUUUUCAUAAGUGGGAAAAGAAGAGAUUUAUGUUUCCUGAAUUUUGUGCUUCAAGUGAUUCAUAUGCAUGUCACGUCCUGUAUUUUGCUUGGUUUUCGUUUAAUUUUUAAUAAAAAAAGAAAUGAAGGAUGACCAAGUGAGUCUAAAAAAAAUGAAGAAGUGUAUUCUAGGUGAAAUGAAGUGACAGGAAAUUCUUUUCAGUUUAUACAUACCUUGGUCAGUUUUUUUAUUUAUUUAAUUCAGUAUCAUGAUUAUUCAGGUUGAAAUGUUACACCCAUAUAUGUAAGUAUUAGCCUUUGGUAGUAAUUAAAGAGGUCUUAUUAUCAGUUUACGGUUUUGCAAAUCUACUUUCUUUUUCCUUUUUGACUAUUUUACUAUUAUCAGCAGUAGUAUUUAGGUUUUAUUAAAUAUUUUUGUAUGUGGGCCAUUAAAAUGUUGAGAAGAUAUGCCUACUUUUUUUAAAAUUAUUUUGUGUACCCUUGUUUACAAAUCAUACAUUUUAUAUGUUAGAAAAAAUUUGUAGACGUUAUAAUAAUAUGGUGCUAUCAUUGUUUGAUUUUAAUUCAUUGCAAUAAAAUUGGAUUUUUAAUCCACGGAUUCGGCAAUUUUAUGUCGAUAUGCCGCCCAAGUUUCAAUACAUUGAGAAGAUAUUUUCACCGCGUUUCGAUCCACAUACGACACUCCAACUUCGUUGUCGCUACGUACAAACCGGUUUAUGAGCAUAUUGUCACCAAUUCAAUUAAAUAAAUCUAUAUCGUCACUUAAUUAUUUCUCUUUUAAUCAUAAUAGAAUAAUUAAUUUUUGGCCAAUUAGGUAAUUACUAUUAAUUAAUUUUAAUUAACUUGAUUAUUUGACUUAAUUAAAUAGUUUUGAUAAUUAAUCUUAAUUAAUUUAGUUAAUAAAUUAAAUCGAACUUCAAUCAAUUAAUUUUGAUAAUAAAAAACUGAUCGAUUUCUUUCACUAUCACCCUUUCGCAUCAUUUCAAAACCAAAACCCGUUCAAUCUCACUCAUAAGCGAAAGUCUUGGUCCAAUGCCGAGCAUUUUUUAUUUAAAUCCGUUUAACCGUGAAAAUUCAAGUCAUUUUUCUAAACCAAUACAAUUUAUAAAGAAUAUUCUUUUAUAAUUUAAAUCGGAUGAAAAAGAAUAUAUGAAGCGUUCGCUUCACUAUUUUGUCAAGUACUCGAACGAUUGGCGUACGCCAUAUUGCUCGAAUUCUUGUCACCUGAUUAAAAGCUUCAAUCAUAAAUUCAAAUCACUUUUCCAAAUUAAAUAUAAUUUUUAAAGACUUUAUUUUCAUAAUUAAGGUUUGGAUGAAAAGGAGUAUAGUAAGCGUCCGCUUCAUUAUCUCUCGAAUAUUUAAAUAAUUGGCGUUCGCCAUAUUGCUCGAGCUUUCGUCGUCUAAUUAAAAACUUAUCAAAUUCAAAUUCGAAGCGUUUCUCCCAAAUUAAUACAACCUCUAAGAACAUGUCUUUUAUAAAUUAAAUUUCGGAUGAUAAAAGAUGGGAGGCAUUCGCCUCACCAUCUCUCGAAUAAUUGAAUGAUUGGCGCUCGCCAUAUUGCUCAAAUUAUCGACUUCCGAUUAAAACAUUCUAAAUAAAUUUGGAUAAAGGAAUAAGUGGCGCACGCCUCAUUAUUCCUCGAAUAAGUAAGUGGGAGGCGUUCUCCUCACUACCGUACAUAUUCGAUUUCCACAAACAAUCUUUCAACAAUAAUUUAAACGAAAAAGGGAGUAGAAGGCGUUCGCCUUAUUAUUCUUCAAAAGAAUUGAACGAUUGGUGUGCACCACAUUGCUCAAUCUUUUGUCGUUCUUCAAAAAAAUAUCUUAAACACAUUAAAUCUAUCUGUCCUCGCCCCCGUGCGAUCAAAACAAACAAAACAAAACAUCUAUCAUAUUCAACUUGUCACCCCCGUGUGACCAAGACUCUUUUCAAAAAGAACACUGUUUAAUCCUUUCUAAUGCGCACAACAAACUAGUGCUUAAGCCUUCGCCGAGAGUAGACAAGCCGACGUUUAGCCUUUAGAACGCGACCUAAAUAGUCGUUCAUAAAAGACACCAACCAAUCGUAGUCCCCCGAACUACGAAUGCUCUUAUUUCCUUAUUGCACUAUAAGGAUACGUAGGCACGAGAUUGCGAGAUCUUGGCGAGCACACUAAGAAAAAACCUCCAUUUCCCCCCUUUCUGAGGUUUCAAUCCUUCUCUAUUUUAAAUCUUUUAUUCAGUUGAAGAAAAUAAACAACAUAAGUUAACAUUCCAAUCGCAAAUUCAACUAAAAGAUUCUCGUUGAGUACAACGGAUGUGAGGGGUGCUAAUACCUUCCCCUUGUGUAAUCGACUCCCGAACCCAAAUAUGGUUGCGACAACCAUUAUUCUAUUUUUUUAAAGGUUUUAUCGAUAUUUUCCCAUUCCUUCACUAGGAUAAAUAAAGUUCGGUGGCGACUCUGUUCAAACUAAAUUUUUUCCGUGACCAUCGCGAUGGAUCGCAUUUUUCGAGGUGCGACAGAUAGUUGAUUCCACCUUUUGUAUUAAGAAGAGGUACAUUAGGGAAGUCACCACAAUUAAGGAUGGGUUUGACAUUAUCGUAGCUUCUAGAGUACCAAGAAAUAUCUUUAGCGUUCAAGGACAUGAUCCUUUGAGACCACUUCAGAUUGUAUUUGUUCUCAAUGAAAGGACAUUUGCUAGGUAGAUGCGAAAUAAACCAUCUAUACAACAAAGGGAUACAACAUAUGAUGGUUCCUUUCUUCUUCUAAGUCCUUACAUGUAUAAAGUAGUAAGUAUCAAUAAGAAUAGUAGGAACAUGAUUCUGAGUUAGAAAAAUAUGGAUAGUAGCCAAGUCCACAAAGUCCUCAAUAUUUGGAAACAAUACGAUCCCAUAGAUAAGUAAUGCUAGAAUGGCGUUGAAAGCCACCAACUUUCGCAUCGGAAAAAAGUAGUGGCCUUAUCCACUAGAAACUUCGAGGUAAAACCAUAGAUUCCACCAUUAAACUUCAGAUUCAGCUCUACUUCCUGCUUCUCUAGGUGAAAGGCUUCAUCAAGGAUAUGAGACUUUGGGAUCUCUUUAGUGUAGACAAAAGGAACUCGGUUUUUAAUCCCAAUACCCAAAAUGUGAGAGUAUUCUUCUAAAGCAGAUGAUAAUUGAUAAUCCUGAAAGGUAGAACAUCUCAGUGAAGGAUCAUAAAAUUGCACAAGAGUAUGCACAACCGUGGUGUUGACUUCAGUAUUCAUAAUUCCUAGGAGGUUACCAUGAGACUUCUUGAACUCUUCUUUGUUCGCAAGAAUCAGACAUGCCCCUAGUCCUUUAAAAACCUUCAAUUGUGGUUCUACGAGCUUGUAACUGUGAAUGCCACUUCUUUUGGAAGUCAUUCUUUGUCUCAAGUACUUAACCAACAAACUUGGCUCUUGGAUUCUUGGAAAAUUCAUAUGCAAAAUUUUUAUUAUGAUGUGAUGAUAAUGUAUGAUGGGAUGAUGUGAGUCACAUAGAUUCAAAGCUCUGAUACAUUCUGGAUAAUCCGUACAUGUUGUUUGUUGUAGGUUCAAAGGUUCAACACAAAAUAAGAACCAAUGUAUGUAAAGGUUAUGGUUUCCUGCAAGAAAAACCCAUAUCCCCUCAUAGGUGUGGACUAAGCUCCAAAGGCGGUCCCUAGAAGAUCCCCCAGAGUCAUCGACUCAAAAUGAAAAUACCUUACCGUAGCGAAUUCUCGCAGGACAAAAGUACUUCCAAGUGAAUCUAGUAUGGGUGUGGCUCUCGUGAUAACCCAACGCGCGAAACGCAGGUGUACACGACUAUCCAUAAAUCUAUCAUAUGUAUAUACUAAGCUCGGGUAUAGAGCUUUACUCAUGUAACAUCAACCCCAACCCAACAACAACAUAUACAAAUAUCCAACAUGAUAGAGUACGUAAUGACGCAAGACAACAAAAUAAAUGAUGAAUAAUAUAAAGUGAGUAAAACAUAAAGAUAAACACCUAAAACAAGCAAAAACAACCAAAUUUAGGCUCGACUCCUUUUAGCGACUAGGAAAUACUCCAAGUAGCAUAGCAUCCCCAAUAGAGUCUCCAGUUGAAGCUAGCAGAAAUAUACCCAAAUGUAUCACACGUUCGAACAUACAACAGAGUCUCCAUCGAACUUUAUUUAUUCCCGAAGGAAAGGGAAAACAUCAAUAAAACUCGGGGAAAGAGAUAACUAGGUAAGGAAGUCGAAUGUUUAAAAUAUGAUUAUGCAGGAUUUUACUGAGAUGUCAGACCCGAUGUCAUGACAUCUGUAUACAGAACAUUCAGUCUGAAUGUUAUGUAUUAUGUGAUUGCAUUUUUAAUGUUAAUCUAUGUAUGAUUGAUGAGAUGAUUGAACGCGCUAUCAAUCAGUAAUUACAACUAGAUUGACUUAUUUUCCAAAGAGAGAUAUAAUCAGCUGUCAUGAGAAGAUAUGAAUGGAAAAUAGUUUUAGGGUUUUAUGAUGUCCAAGCCCAGCCAAUUGCUUCUAUAUAAAGGACAUGAAAAACCUGGUUUUACGCACAAGAAAUAAUGAACGAAAUAUUGAGAGAGAAUAAGGGUUUUAGUCUUUUGUGGUCGUGUGGAUUGUAAGCCAUUCAUUCAUCCAUAGAUGAUUGAAUUGGACUGAUUUUUGAGUUGUAAUUUGUCCACUCUAAGCUUUGAAGCAUGAGUGUGUGUUUACUUGAUCGAAGCUUUUAAGUAAGAUCAAGUAUGUGUCUUUGAAGAGUGUCUUCUUUUCAUUGUAAUUCGUGUUUCAUAUCACUGUUGUGAUUGAGGGGAAGUGAGUAGGAUCUCAUAUCUAAGAGUUCUUAGGUAGAAGUCACACGGGUAGAGAUUAGGUGAAAAAACUGUAACUUGAAGUUGUUUACUGAGAGUCUUUGAGUUGAUUCUGUUUAGUGGAUUUCCUUCCUGGCUUGGUAGCCCCCAGACGUAGGUGAGUUUGCACCGAACUGGGUUAACAAUUGCUUGUGUCUCUUGUAUUAUUGUUCUUUAUCUUUUAUCCUGUUUAUAUUGUUCAGAUAUUAGUGUCGUGACAUUACCUUCAACAUCUCAUAUCUGAUACCAGAAUUUCAAUUGGUAUUAGAGCAGGCAUCCUGCUCUGGUUCUGGGUGAGAUCUAGGGACAUUACUUUCUGGUACUAUGGAUAGAGACGGAGGAUCUGUUCACAGACCACUAUUUUGGAUGGAUCCAACUAUGAUUACUGGAAACCUCGAAUGGUAGCCUUCCUAAAAUCCUUGGAUAAUAAAGCUUGGAAGGUUGUUUUAACAGGCUGGGAACAUCCAGUUAUUACUAAGGAAGGAGAAGCUACAAUUGACAAGAAGGUUGAGGAACAAUGGACCAAGGAGGAGGAUGAUCUAGCCCUUGGGAACUCUAAAGCAUUGAAUGCUAUAUUCAAUUGAGUAGAUAAGAACAUCUUCAGAUUGGUAAACAACUGUGAGGUGGCUAAAGAUGCUUGGAACAUUCUCAAAACCACUCAUGAAGGCACCUCUAGAGUGAAGAUGUCUAGACUGCAGCUGCUCACUACAUCUUCAGAUUGGUAAACAACUGUGAGGUGGCUAAAGAUGCUUGGAACAUUCUCAAAACCACUCAUGAAGGCACCUCUAGAGUGAAGAUGUCUAGACUGCAGCUGCUCACUACCAAGUUUGAAAAUUUAAGGGUGAAAGAAGAUGAAAAUAUUCAUGAAUUUCAUAUGAAUAUCCUUGAAAUUUCUAAUGCCUCAGGAGCCCUGGGUUAGAAGAUGUCAGAUGAAAAGCUAGUGAGGAAAAUACUCAGGUCACUUCCUAAAAGAUUUUCCAUGAAAGUGACAGCCAUAGAAGAGUCUCAAGACAUUUCCAAUAUGAGAGUUGAUGAGCUAAUUGGAUCCCUCCAAACAUUUGAGAUGGAAUGUGUGAUGGGUCUAAAAAGAAAGUCAAAAGCAUAGCCUUCAUGUCAAACACUAAAGAGAAAGAGGAAGAAAGUGGUCAAGAUACUGAUGAAGAUCUGGCAAAUGAUGUAGCAUUACUGGGAAGACAGUUCAACAAACUUCUAUUGUGUCACAUAAGUGAAGAAGUGUGUCAACAAGUUGAAAGUCAGAAGAAAGUGAUAACACAACUGGAGAAUGAGAAGGUAGAACACUUGGAAACCAUCUCUAAGUUAAAGACUGAAGCAGUGUUCUGGAAUUCCAAACUAGAUGAGAUGACAAAGUAUGUUAGAAUUCUAAACAAUGGAUCUGACACCUUAGACAAAAUUCUCCAGACUGGACAAAUGACAGGAGACAAGUCUGGCAUUGUGUUCAAUGAGUCCAAACCUGUGUGCAGUCACACUGGUAGCAAACCAAAAUCCAAACCUGAGUGCAGUCACACUGGUAGCAACCCAAAGAUGUCAUAUCUUAUGUCACAACAUCAUAAAGGAAGACAGCAGAAAGGGAAACAUCAAAGAUGGAUAUGUCAUUACUGUGGAAAAUUUGGCCACAUAAAACCAUUCUGCUAUAAGUUGUAUGGUUAUCCUAGUCCUUCUCAUCAUCAACUUAGACCCAAACAUGACAUACAUGUCAACAGAAAACAAUGGGUUCCUAGGACUGGUGUUACAAACAUGAUAGCUCACACUUCCUUCAGAAUUUCAGCCAAAGAAGACUGGUAUUUUGACAGUGGGUGCUCCAGACACAUGACUGGAAACAAAAACCUGCUAACUGGCCUUCAUCCUCAUGCCACAAUCUAUGUAACCUUUGGUGAUGGAGAAAAGGGUGAAAUCAAGGGGAUUGGUAAGCUUAACUGCCCUGGAGUCCCUAACCUUGACAAUGUCCUACUUUUUAAGGGACUGACUGCAAACCUGAUAAGCAUCAGUCAACUGUGUGACCAAGGUCUAACUGUAAACUUCAUAAAAACUGAAUGUCUGAUUAAUAAUAAAGAAAAUGAAGUGAUCAUGAAAGGAGUCAGGUCUAAGGACAAUUGCUAUAUGUGGAGUUCUCAAGAAACUGGUUAUUCAUCAAUGUGUACUCUAGCCAAAGAAGAAGAAGUGAAGAUAUGGCAUCAAAGAUUGGGCCAUCUGCAUCUUAAAGGAAUGAAGAGGAUUAUAUCAAAUGUGUACUCUAGCCAAAGAAGAAGAAGUGAAGAUAUGGCAUCAAAGAUUGGGCCAUCUGCAUCUUAAAGGAAUGAAGAGGAUUAUAUCUGUUGAAGCUGUUAGAGGAAUUCCCAACUUGAAGAUUUAUGAAGGAAGAGUUUGUGGGGAAUGUCAGAUUGGAAAACAGACAAAGAUGUCACAUCAGAAGCUCAGACAUGACACCACUUCCAGAGUGCUGGAACUUCUCCAUAUGGAUUUGAUGGGACCCAUGCAGGUGGAAAAUCUUGGUGGGAAGAAGUAUGCUUAUGUAGUGGUGGAUGACUUCUCCAAAUACACCUGGGUCAAUUUUAUAAAAGAAAAAUAUGAUGUAUUUGAAGUCUUCAAAGAUCUUUGUCUAAGACUUCAAAGAGAAAAAUAAAGUCAAGUUAUCAAAAUCAGAAGUGAUCAUGGGAAGGAAUUUGAGAACAACAAAUUUGCUGGAUUCUGUGCAUCAGAAGGAAUUAGUCAUGAGUUCUCAUCUCCCAUUACUCCCCAUCAAAAUGGUGUGGUAGAAAGGAAAAAUAGAUCUCUCCAAGAAUCAGUCAGAGCUAUGAUUUAUGUCAAGAAAUUUCCCUACCACUUCUGGGCUGAAGCUAUGAACACAGCCUGCUAUGUUCACAACAGAGUAACCUUGAAGAAAGGGACUCCUACUACUUUAUAUGAAGUCUGGAAAGGGAGAAGACCUACAGUCAAAUACUUCCAUGUGUUUGGUAGUAAAUGUUAUAUCUUGACUGAUCGUGAACAAAGAAGGAAGAUGGAUCCCAAGAGUGAUAAAGGAAUAUUUCUGGGCUACACAACAAACAGCAGAGCAUUUAGAGUCUUUAAUUCCAGAACAAAAGUAAUGAUGGGAUCUAUCAAUGUUAUGGUUGAUGAUCAACAGACUGAUGUCACAGACGAUGUUGAGACAUCCCUAAAUGUUUUCCCCAGCUGAUUUCCCAGACAAAAGUAAUGAGAGUGAACUCACUCAAGCUGAACCUGAAGCUGACAAAACUAAUAAGGGACCCUCUAUCAGAAUUCAGAAGGAUCAUCCUAAAGAUCUCAUUAUAGAAGACCCAAAUAAAGGGGUCACAACUAGAUCAAGGGAAGUGAUCUCACAUGGUUUUCAUGUGUCCAAGAUUGAGCCUAGGAAUGUCAAGGAAGCCUUGACUAAUGAGUUCCGGAUCAAUGCCAUGCAGGAAGAGUUAGGCAAAUUCAAGAGGAAUGAAGUAUGGGAACUGGUUCCAAGACCUGAAGGAAUAAAUGUCAUUGGAACAAAGUGGAUGUACAAGAAUAAAUCUGAUGAACAAGGGGUGGUUACUAAAAAUAAAGCAAGAUUAGUAGCACAGGGAUACACUCAAGUUGAAGGAGUUGACUUUGAUGAAACAUUUGCCCAUGUAGCUCACCUUGAGUCCAUUAGACUAUUGCUUGGAGUGGCAUGUAUUCUGAAGUUUAAACUGUUCCAAAUGGAUGUAAAAAAUGCCUUCUUGAAUGGCUACUUAAAUGAGGAAGUAUAUGUUGAACAACCUAAAGGAUUCACAGAUCCAAAUCUUCCAAAGCAUGUGUACAAGUUGAGGAAAGCCCUCUAUGGUUUGAAAGCAAAGCUCUAGGCUUGGUAUAUGAUAGACUCACAGUGUUCCUCACUAACAAUGGAUACAGGAAGGAGCAUUGGCAAGACCCUAUUUGUUAAAAUGAAGGAGGAAAACUCAUGGUGGCUCAAUAUAUGUGGAUGAUAUUGUGUUUGGUGGGAUGUCAGAUCAGAUGGUCGAACAUUUGUUAAACAAAUGCAGUCUGAAUUUGAAAUGAGUCUUGUUGGAGACUAACCUUUUUUCUUGGGCUACAAGUCAAGCAGAUGGAAGAUUCCACUUUCUAUUAAAGCAAAUAUGCAAAACAUUGUUAAGAAGGUUUGGCAUGGAGAAUGCAAGUCAUAAAAGGACACCUGCUCCUACACAUCUGAAAGUCUCCAAAGAUGAAAAUGGUGUUAGUGUAGAUCAAAGUCUCUACAGAAGCAUGAUAGGAAGUUUGCUAUAUCUUACAGCAAGCAGACCUGACAUUGCUUUUGUUGUAGGUGUUUGUGCUAGAUAUCAAGCUGAACCAAAAGUCAGUCACAUAAACCAAGUGAAAAGCAUACUGAAAUAUGUCAAUGACACCAGUGACUAUGGGAUGUUGUAUACUCAUGGAUCUGGAUCUAUGCUGACUGGAUACUGUGAUGCUGAUUGGGCUGAAAGUGUUGAUGACAGGAAAAGCACAUCAUGAGGAUUUUUCUUCUUGGGGAACAACUUAAUAUCAUGGUUUAGUAAGAAACAAAAUUGUGUGUCCCUUUCCACUGCUAAAGCUGAAUACAUAGCAGUUGGAAGUAGUUGUUCUCAACUGGUUUGGAUGAAAUAGAUGCUGACUGAAUACAAUGUCACGCAAGAAGUCAUGACAUUGUACUGUGACAACCUGAGUGCUAUAAAUAUUUCUAAGAAUCCUAUUCAGCACAGCAGGACAAAACACAUUGAUAUUCGUUAUCACUUUAUUAGAGAACUAGUGGAAGAGAAAAUCACAGCCCUGGAGCAUGUUACCACUGAAAUGCAAUUAGCUGACAUAUUUACAAAGGCUUUGGAUGCUAAUCAAUUUGAAUGUUUAAGAGGGAAAUUAGGGAUUUGUAUCCAUGAGAAUUUAUAGCAAUUAAUUUGGAGUAGAAAAGGUAAUAAAAAUAUUGUCUGCCCACUUAAAAGAAAGUGCCCCAUUUAUGGUAAAUCAUUACCUAGUAUUGGAACUUUCAUCUAUAGCAUUUUCACACGCAACCUCAGCUCAACCAUUUCCAUCUUCCUCAAACUUCAUCGACCUUCUCUGCUAGGGCAAUAGAAAUCCUUUCACAAGCUCAACAAGAUGUCACAACAUUCUUCACCUUCUAGUUCUAAAAACACCAAACCUGCGCACAAAGCAAGAACACCCUCCAUGGAUUUUCUUAAUGAGGACAUUUUGGAAGUGAUUCCCCUAUCAGUCAUCCCAGGCGACGCUCCUGGUCCAUCCUCCACUGCAGGACAUACUCAAGGUAACAAAUCUUAUAACCCUACCUCUAAAGAUGACAUGCAUCAUACUGAUCGUGUCAUUAGAAAUCUUGUCACGAGGAUCCUAAAUGAAGGACACUCUAUAAAGGGAGUUUCUAAUCCCCUAUCUAGAAGAGACCCUUCUCCUGAGGUUGGACCUCACAAUGAGAAAGAUGAUUAUUCAUCUAGGUCUGAGAAAGAUAUUGCUGCAGAAGGACUGUGUUCUUUAGGGCAAACCUUGCCUUGUAAGAAAUCUAUAGGUACUUCUCAAUCUAAGAAGCAUGACUCUGCUAAGAAGGUGAUCGACUUGGAAGAUGAGAGCUCAGAUGAUGAAGAUGAUAGCUUGCUUCAUCACUUGAAGCCAAGUGUUGCUAAGAGAAUGAAGACCAUGAAGGGUAGGUCUGUGGCUGAGAUGAUGACAGCCAAAACUGGUAAGAAGGCUACUGCUGUAGGCCCUUCAAAGUCUUGGAGUAAAAUGGAGGUAAAGAAGAGAAAUGUAAGAGAAAGUUCUGAUUCAGAGGAAGAUGUUGAAGACGGUGUCCCUGACAUCUCUCCUGUCAAAAUGUCAAAUGUUAGAAAAUUUCCUGCAAAGGUUGCUGCUGUACACCUAGAUAACAUUUCCUUCCAUCUUGAAGAUGGUGGAGCCAAGUGGAAAUUUGUAAUCCAAAGGAGAGUGGCUAUGGAAAGAGAACUGGGAAAGGAUGUUGUGGAAGUUAAGGAGGUCAUGAACCUGAUUAAGUCUGCUGGUUUAAUGAAAAUAGUUAGUGGGUUAUCUCAAUGUUUUGAAGGUCUAGUUAAAGAGUUUGUGGUGAACAUCCCUGAGGACAUUGCUGACAAGAACAACAAAGAGUUUUGUAAGGUGUUUGUUAGAGGAAACUGUGAUCAAUAAGUUCCUAGGAAGAGGAACAGAAGGUGCUGGUGAACUAGAGGCCACAGACAAUAAAGUCUGUAGGAAAAUAACUGUUGGACAGGUCAAGGAGUGGCCAAGAAAAAAGCAUCUCUCUGCUGGAAAAUUAACUGUGAAAUAUGCUAUCUUGCACAAGAUAGGGUCAGCAAACUGGGUACCAACAAAUCACAUCUCUACAAUCUCAAAUGCUCUUGGAAGGCUCAUAUUUGCUAAUGUGAAAUAUGCUAUCUUGCACAAGAUAGGGUCAGCAAACUGGGUACCAACAAAUCACAUCUCUACAAUCUCAAAUGCUCUUGGAAGGCUCAUAUUUGCUAUUGGAACCAAGCUUAAUUUUGAUUAUGAAAGAUUCAUGUUUGAACAAAUUGUCAAACAUGCUUCCACAAAUGCAGUGAAGCUGCCCAUAGCUUUUCCCUCAAUAAUUUGUGGGAUAAUCCUAUGCUAGCAACCUGGAAUACUGAGCACAAGUGAUAUCCCUAGUAGAAGAAAACCUCCAUUGUCAGUUCAUUACAAAUUAUUUGAAGGCAGUCAUGUCAAUGACAUUGUCAUGACAUAUGCUGUAAAGAAGCCAACCUCUCAAGGUGGUCUGAUUGUUGAACUGAAAGAGACCUGUAAGGAAUUGGAGACUGGGAUAAGGGUGGCUAAAGUUAAGAAAGAAGCUCUGGAGGUUCUAAUUAAUAGCUUGGAGAAAGGAGAUAUGGAUAAUGUUGGUCAAGCCAAGGAAACAGAUGUCCACACCUCAAGUAAGAGGUCUGAAUCUCAAGAUAAAUCAAGUGGCAGUUCUGGGUCUGAAGCUGAUGAAGAUGCUAGCUCCUCUGACUGAGUUGUGGUGAAGAUGAUUCCCCUGUUAUAAUGAUGUGCUAUUCUGGAUACUUUAAUGUUUGAUGUUUGAUGUUUUUUUUUGCAGUCUUAUUUUGAUGCCUUGAUGUAAUUUUUGGGUUCUCUUUGUGAUUUCUCUGGAUUUCUUUUUAUCUCAGCUUAUAUAGUUGUGUAUAUUUAUGGUUCUGUAACACCUGACAAUAUGUUUUAACAUUCUAUAUGUUUUAAAAUUCCUUGUGAGAUUCUCUGUUGGACUAAUAGACAUUUAUUUUGUCUCAUUGGUCUCUUUGGUCUAUUUUGACUAAAAGAGGGGAGAAGUAGCUAAAGGAGAAUCGCAGUUAAUAUGUGCUAUGAAGUAGCUAGGCUAUAAACAGAUGACAACUGAUGUUGAACAUGAUAUGUUUUGUGGAGUACAUGUGAUAUUGAAGGAGAUGUUAGAUGGGGUGAUGGAUGUCACAUGUGUUGUUGAAGGAGAUGCCUGUGUUGAACAGACUUAAGGGGAGAAGAAGCACAUAUGUGUUUAAUGUGUGUUUACUAGUUGCUAUUAUAGCUAGUAAAUAUGUGGUUUAUUACUUCUGAUGCUGCUUAACUGCUGAUAUGUUUUUUACUUUUGUGAACAAAUGGACUGAUGUAUGUUUUAGCCAAAAUUUGCCAAAGGGGGAGUUUGUUGGUUCUAUAUGUUGGCAACAAUUUUGGUAAAACCUAGAGUGUUCACAAGAUGUCACAAGGGUUGUCUUGACAUAAGAUAACAUGUACCUGCAGAAUGUUUAAAAUGUGAUUAUGCAGGAUUUUACUGAGAUGUCAGACCCGAUGUCAUGACAUCUGUAUACAGAACAUUCAGUCUGAAUGUUAUGUAUUAUGUGAUUGCGUUUUUAAUGCUAAUCUAUGUAUGAUUGAUGAGAUGAUUGAACGCGCUAUCAAUCAGUAAUUACAACUAGAUUGACUUAUUUUCCAAAGAGAGAUAUAAUCAGUUGUCAUGAGAUGAUAUUAAUGGAAAAUAGUUUUAGGGUUUUAUGAUGUCCAAGCCCAGCCAAUUGCUUCUAUAUAAAGGACAUGAAAAACCUGGUUUUACACACAAGAAAUAACGAACGAAAUAUUGAGAGAGAAUAAGGGUUUUAGUCUUGUGUGGUCGUGUGGAUUAUAAGCCAUUCAUUCAUCCAUAAAUGAUUGAAUUGGACUGAUUUUUGAGUUGUAAUUUGUCCACUCUAAGCUUUGAAGCAUGAGUGUGUGUUUACUUGAUCGAAGCUUUUAAGUAAGAUCAAGUAUGUAUCUUUGAAGAGUGUCUUCUUUUCAUUGUAAUUCUUGUUUCAUAUCACUCCUGUGAUUGAAGGGGAGUGAGUAGGAUCUUAUAUCUAAGAGUUCUUAGGUAGAAGUCACACGGGUAGAGAUUAGGUGAAAAGAAUGUAACUUGAAGUUAUUUACUGAGAGUCUUUGAAUUAAUUAUGUUUAGUGGAUUUCCUUCCUGGCUUGGUAGCCCCCAGACGUAGGUGAGUUUGCACCGAACUGGGUUAACAAUUGCUUAUGUCUCUUGCAUUACUGUUCUUUAUCUUUUAUCCUGUUUGUAUUAUUCAGAUAUUAGUGUCGUAACAUUACCUUCGACAUCUCAUAUCUGAUACCAGAAUUUCAUGAACUCAAGAGUAAAAUUGGCAUCAACCAUAUGCGGGGUAGCAUAAAGGGUGGUGCCAUUAUAUGGUAUGGCCGAAAAUAAAGAUAAUUAAGUGUUUGGUUUCACGACACAAACAAAUCUUGGUUCAGAAGCUGAUACAAGACGAGGCUCAAAGAGAUAGUGUAUUUGCCUCAAAGAUAAUAGUAUACCACAUGAAGUGAAUGGUUCAAUGAUUGAAGAUAGAUGAUGGUUCAUGAAAGACAUGAAUGGUGCCCUAAGGAAGAAUAAUAAUUAGGAUUAUGCUCGCCAAGGAUUCGAUGCCUUGUGCCUACGUAUUCUUAUCGUGGAAUGAGAAAGUCAGAGCACUCGUAGUGUGUGGAACCAUGAAAAUAAAGAGAGAGAUAAGUGAUGAAAAGUAUAACUUGUACCAACAGAAUGGUGGAAACAAAGAGAGAUGUUUGUCUAAGCAACGACGACUUAUAAGAAAAACACAAAUUCAAGGGUUAACUGCAAUGGAAACAAAGAGAGAGAUGCUUGCCUAUGCAAUAGGGACUGAUAAGAUAAGCACAAACUCCAAGGGUUGGCUACAAUGUUGUUUAGUACAAAGAAUAAUAUAUCACUGUAGGGAACAAACAAUUUGAAACCAAAGAAGAGUGGUAUAUUGGAUCCAUGAAGGAAUGAACUUUGAACCAAAGAGUAAACAAGCAUCUUAGCCAAAAAAAGGGAAUAAAUUGUUUGGUUUCACAACACAAACAUCUCUUGGUUUACAAGGUGGACUACCGUUAUAUCAUCCUAAAAGGAUAUGCAUGGAAUACAAGGGAAAAAAUGAUAUUUGAUCUCAAAAUAUGGUAUUGAUUGAUGAAUGGAGAAAUGAUAAAUAAGGUAGGAUUAAUAAAUAGGGUAGCUCUCGGAGAAUCUGAAUCCUCGUGCCUACGUAUUCAAACCAUGCAAUGAGAAAGCCAGAGCUUUCGUAGUUCAGCCUACUAGGGAUGACAACAAAAGAUUAAGGCAAGAUAAGUGAUAUAUUAUAAAGAAAAUGAAGAAGACUUGGCAGUCAUUUGAUAUGAAUCACACUAAAGUCUAUGAGUAAAGGUGAAUACAAUGAGCAACUGGGUCAUUCGUCCCGUACCCAAAGAUAUUCAGAAUGAGUUACUAGAAUUCUCCACUCUCAUUCAUUCUUUACUACUUAAGGCUCGUGGCAUGUGAAUCUCAUCAUAACUUUCAAGUUACUGAAGAAGAAUCCUUUCCGCUCCUUAUGAUAAUGAAGACUUUAUCAAUCAUUCGAUUCGAAUUGCACUAAAGUCUAUGAAUAAAGGCGAAUACCUUUGAGCAACUAGGUCAUUCGUCUCGUACCCAAGGAUACCCUAGACAAGGAUAUGAAAUCUCCACUCUCAUCAUUCUUUGUUACUUAAGGCUCAUGGCAUAUAACUUGAAUCAUGAUUGAUAAGUUGUUGAUGAAGACCUCUGGUUGUUGUACUGUUGCUUUAAAGGGAGACUUGAUAAUCAUGUGAUUUGAAUCAUGCUAAAGCCUAUGAAUAGAGGUGAAUACAAUGAGCAACUGAGUCAUUCGUCCCAUACCCAAAGAUAUUCAGAAUGAGUUAAUGGAAUUCUCCACUCUCAUUCAUUCUCUAUUCCUUAAGGCUCGUGCCACACAAUUUUAAUCUUGAUUUCCAAGCUCUUGGAGAAACACCUUUGAUAAGCCUAGUAUAAUCCACUACUUGAUUUUCCUGAAAUGCCUUACAUGAAAGUCUGGACUUGAGGCCUUGAGAUCCACAACUUCACAAAAAUAGUCUUAUCAAGUGAUCAAGGGACUUUUGAUCACUUGAGUAAACUGUGGGAUUAUAUAUGAAUCAAAGGAUUUAGUUAAUCAAAAAUUCUUUUGAUCAACUUGAAUCAAAGGGUUUAACUUAGUUGGUAAUUAUGGUUAACCUAAUCUAAAGAUUAAAAAAUUGUACAAGUUAUACCUAAGGGAUCCUACACAUGUUAAGGUCAAAUUAAUCAAAUUACCAACUAUCCCGUGAAAAUUAAUAUGAUUAAAAGUACCAAUUAAUCUAAAUCUAUUCCUAAUCCUAAGGGAACAUGAAUUUCGCUACUAAAACCCUAGGGUUAAAAUGGUCAAAUUCAUAUGAACAAUUAAAGAAUUAAACCUAGAAUUUAAUCUAACUAAAACUAAUUAUCCUAAUUAUUUAUAAUUAGAACAAUUAAUUUUAAUUAAAAAACUAUCAAAAUCUAAUUAAACUCUACAAGAUGUUAAUCCUAAUUAAGCUCCUAACUAACAUAAAUAUUAAGAACUAAUAUAGCAAAACAAUUAAUUAAAACAACAAAAAAAAAUGAUAAAAAUAAAAAAAAUCAAAAAAACAAAUGGGCCUGAAGAGGGGGGUAAGGCCCUGAACUAGGGUGUUAAGAAGCAAAAACGUGUGGUCCUGGAGGCAAGGCCCACAAGGUCCCACUUCAGUCCAACUCCAAACAAUUAGGGGUAUAAUGGCAGACCUAGGGGUGCAUGAAUGAAGUGAUUGGGCCUGAGGCCAUUGCAAUUCACCGGAGACACAAUUUGAGGAAUUCAAAUUUAAUUUUAAAGAACAAAUGUGCACUAACCCCUCAACAUUCCUCCCCCAUCUCAGCCGCUCCGAAAAUCGCCUCCGGUGGCAGCAAAGCUCACAUCACCCUCCUAACUACAUAAUCAGAAUUGGAUUUUUAUCCUUAAUCACAAAAUCACUUCAAUUCCAAUAAAUACUCAAAAAUCAACUCAAAAAUCACAAUCAACAAGAAGAACCAUAGGAUUUCUACUCAAAAUUAAAUGGAAGUUGCUCCUGGAUUCACAGUCAAAGCUUGGGGCGAUUGAUCUCUAGGAUGUCAGCUACGCAGUGGUAACCAGAUUGAGAGGAAUUGAGAAGGAAAAAAUUACCUCAGAAGCAGAUAUUUGCUUCGGAGAACAGUUGGAUCGGAGAAGAAGCUUUGCCCGAGGAAGAUACUUGAAAUCUUGUACUUUAUUGAUUCUAUCUUCUUCUUCUUGUUCCUUUUACUUCUCUUCUUCUUCUUCCACUUUCUCAGAUCGAAUGAGUAUGAGCUUCGAAGGAAUUGCAGAGAUAAUUCAGAGUGUGCUGAGAUUCCUUCUGAGUCUGUGAGAGAUAAAACCUGAGCUGAAUUGUGUAGGCUGAUGAUGAUUACAUGUUAGGUUAUAUAGAGCUCUGAUUUGUUAACAGUGUUAAACUCUGUUAGAUUUUUAUUCUGCAAGUUAGUUGAAUGUGAUAACACUGUUAAGUUUUCAGUUAACUGUUAGUUUGAGGCUAGAAUGAAUUUGGUUAUUUAGUUAGGUGUUAGAGUUAACCUUAUAUUAAUUCUGUUAGGAUCGUUAGUCAUGAAAGUUUGGAAUUGGAGUGAGUAAAGCAGACUUGAAGACUCGAGUGAGAUGAAUCAAUUGCCUUGUAUUUGACAUUUUGAGCCACUAAGUUUUUAUGUUGUGUUGGUUCAGUUAAUGUGAGAUAUAGAUUUUCUUAUUAGAUGGAAGGAUUCAGUAAUACUUUCUGACUUGCUGAUUAUGUGAAUUAUCCUGAUUCAUCAUGCCUUCUGUUGACAUGUUAACUGAGUUGUUAUAGUUAUGACAAAUCAUGUUGCUGCCUGCCUAUGAACUUGUCGUAUUGCAUAUUGGACUGGCUUGCUGAUUUUUAUGAAAUGGUUAUGGUUUAAACGCAAGAGUUUGGCUCGAGGUUGUCUGGCUUUGCUGCUGAAGGCAUUGCUGAUCAAUGAGUGCUUGCUAAAAUAUGUUGAAAUUCAUGGUUAUUUUCUCAUGUUCAACUCAUGACUUUGAUGGACUUCUUUUGAAGCCUCAGCGUAGGACUAUGCAGAGAUUUCAAUGUUUGGUAUGUUGUUGCAGAAACAAGGCAAUGACAGAUCAUGUAUGUGUGAUUAGUGCAAUGUAUGUGAUUAGGAUAAGUUAAAUGGUUUGAGUGUAGGCUUAUGUAUGCACAUUUCGAUUAUGACUUUGUUUUUCUUCUUUUAUGCAGCAUGGUAAACCUCUUGCAUUUGCUUGGAUUGUGUGGUUUUGGUUGUAGGAACAACAUUUCAUGCAUGUAGUUUUUCUUGGCUAUGAGAAUCAUGGUGAUGCAAUCAUAACUUGGCUCAUCAAAGGUCAUGGAAGCAGGCUUGAACUUGGUUCUGUAUGCUAAGUGUAUAUGUUUGGAUGCAUUUCCAUGGCUAUUUUUGCAGGGUUGUGAUGAAUUGGGUCAUACUUGGAUUAGUGCUUGUAAUGAAAUGGUUUCAAGAUAUGGCAAGAGACUUUGAUGACAAAACAAGGCAUGGUGCAAAAAUGGUUUUCUUAUUCAUGAAGAAUGUUUGGUAAUGGAAAGAUGGGAAGGACAUGGAAUUAAAUUAGAAAUUAGGGUUAGGUCAUGAAAAAAAGUUGGUUGACUUUGGUCAUCUGGUUGACCAAAAAGUCAAUAGUUGACCACAAAGUCAACAGUUGACCAAAAAGUCAACCUUUAGAAAAUAUAAUUUUGAUUUCCUUUUGUAAUGAAACAAUGCAUUCUUUGAUAGGUGAGUGUAUAAUCAAUGUUUUAAAUGUAAGGAUCAUCAAUGUAUGAGGAUUAAAACUUAACUUUUGCAUGA
rnacentral:lncRNA from 1 species